ensembl:lncRNA
CACCAAGGGAGCAGUUGGGGGAUUAGUGCCUGGCUCAAGGGUCUCACCUCAGUCAUGGUUAUUGUGUGUGAAAGAGUGUUUCUGUCUCCCGUGGUGUUUAUUUGAUUCCAGGUGUGUCUAGUUUCCUCCCCAUGUGUUCCAUGUCUCUGUUGAUUAGUCAUUCCAUUCACCUGUGUUUCCCCAAUUAUCCUGCCUUUAAAUACCAUAGUCUUUCAGUUCAGUUUUGUCGGGUCUACCAGUUACAUACGUGUGUCUUCCUCCUGUGUUCCAUGUUGGAUUUACCCCUGUGUUGGAUUAAUAAAGACUCUCUCGAUUACUCUUGACUCUGUGUUCCUUCAAGCAGCGUAGCAUGACAGAAGACCCGACGUACAAAAGUUAAUUCCGUUUGUCUACCCUCCAUUUGUUUUCUGGUUUUCCUCAGUUUUUCCUUUCCAUUGUGUGUGAUGGAUCCCCUCCUUCGCCCAGAAUACCUUGUCCUCCUGCUGGAGCAGGGGGAGAAUUCGCUCGGGGCACACACCAGACUGUUCAGGAUCAUGGCAAGCCUCACCAACUACCCGGAUGACAUGCUCUGUGUGUUCUACAACGCCAGUUGGAACAUCGCGCACAGAACACCGUUGUCCAAGGACGGUCCCUGAGCGAAUUUUGCCACAUUCGUGGAGUGGACACUGGCGAGAAAUGGAUCUCUGUUCCCCACCUGUUCCCAGGGAUUGAUCGCCAGUGCAACUACCAACCCAGAGCCCAGCCCACUAUCUCCCCGAUGUGCAGAGCGCAUGCCCGAGCCCGCCGCUGACGGAGAGCCGGAGCCCACCGCGACUGACGAGCUAUCACAGCAUAGAGCGUCAGAGCUGAGGAUCGCCGUGGAGCCAGACGCCAUGACGUCAGACCAGGUGUGUUUGCCGGCAACACCCCCCGCCAUGAGGGAGAAGGACACGGACAGGGUGAGCGUGGAGAUGCACUGCACCAUGGCUGAGGGUGAGCUGGAUAUGGAGCGCCAAAAUGAGGAGGUGGAUCUUAUAGACUGGGAAUCGGAACUGAAAGUUGAACUGCCCCCUCUCCUCUCUCUAUCGUCUCCGCUGGUCCCGUCCAGCCCUCCUUCGUCCUUGGUUUCCUCGUCCAGCCCUGCGGGGGCUUCCAAUUCUCCAGAGCGCGCUCCUAGAAAGUGUCCUCCUGUGGCCGCUCCUAGAAAGUGUCCUCCUGUGGCCGCUCCUAGAAUGUGCCCUCCUGUGGCCGCUCCUCCAAAAUUCCCACUCCUGCCUCCUCCACCGCUGUCGUCUGGCAGACCCUCUGCCCGUCCUCAGCCCACCAUCAUUGCGGUGUGAGCUCCAUGGGACUGCCAUCCUCCAGUGUCGCCGUGCUCUGAGUCUCCCUCACCUCCGCCUCCUGCCUCCGAGGCCUGGACUCUGCCUUGGCCCGUUGACCCAUCGGCUCCACCAUGACUCCUAGCUCCCUCUCCGCCGUGGCCUGGCAGUCCACAAGCUCCGCCUGGCUCACUCGUCCAUCCGGCUCGGCCUUGGUCUGGCAUCGACCAUCCUGCGCCUCGGGACACCACUCCUCUGGCUUCACCUCGUCCCUCUGGCUCUGUCAGGCUCCUUCAUCCCCUCGGCUCCACCUCAGUCUUCUGUCACUCUGGUUCCACCGCGGCCUCCCGGAUCCACAUCUCCGCGUCGGUCACUGGCAUCAUCAGUUCCGCCUAGGACCUCCGGAUCCUCCCC